rnacentral:misc_RNA from 1 species
AGAUGACCUAUUGGGCAUAUUACUCGAAUCCAAUUUGAAAGAAAUCGAACUUCAUGGUAAAAAAGAUUUUGGAAUGACUAUAUCAGACGUGGUAGACGAGUGCAAACUAUUUUAUUUUGCUGGACAAGAGACAACUUCAGUGUUACUCGUUUGGACAAUGAUUUUACUGUGCUUACAUCCAGAAUGGCAAGUACGUGCCAGAGAGGAG